UCAGGAUGAACGCUGGCGGUAUGUAUCACACAUGCAAGUCGAACGAUUUCAAUCUUAUAUGUUUGAAAUAGUGGCCUACGGGUGAGUAACACGUGAGUAUCUACACAUAGAAGGGAGAUWACGAUUGGAAACAAUUGCUAAUACCCCAUAAAGCUAAUUUAAUUUAGUUAAAGCAGAUGCGUCUAUGUAUGAGCUUGCGGCUGAUUAGCUAGUUGGUGAGGUAAAUGCUUACCAAGGCGAAGAUCAGUAGCUGUUCUGAGAGGCAGGGCAGCCACACUGGAAUUGAGAUACGGAACAGACUCCUACGGGAGGCAGCAGUGAGGAAUUUUUGGCAAUGAGCGAAAGCUUGACCAAGCAAUACCGCGUGGAGGAUGAAGGCUUUUGGGUUGUAAACUUCUUUCGUUGAUGAAGAAUAUUAUGACUUAAGUCAAAGAAGAAGCACUGGCUAAUUACGUGCCAGCAGCCGCGGUAAUACGUAAAGUGCGAGCGUUGUACGGAUUUAUUGGGCGUAAAGCGUCUGUAGAUUGUAAUUUAAGUUUAAGGUUAAAUGUCGAUGCUUAACGUCGGAAAGGCUUUAAAAACUGAUUUACUAGAGUAUAAUAGAGGUAGAGGGAAUUUUUAGUGUAGCGGUGAAAUGCGUAGAUAUUGAAAAGAACACCAAUGGCGAAAGCACUCUGCUGGGUUAUUACUGACAUUGAGAGACGAAAGCUGGGGGAGCAAAACGGAUUAGAUACCCGUGUAGUCCCAGCUGUAAACGAUGGGAACUAGAUG
rnacentral:rRNA from 1 species